rnacentral:rRNA from 1 species
UACUAGAGUAGCACUCGCAUAUCAAUAAGCGGAGGAAAAGAAACUAACAAGGAUUCCCCUAGUAACGGCGAGUGAAGCGGGAAGAGCUCAAAUUUGAAAUCUUAAAGGGUUUCCCUUUACGAAUUGUAGUUUAAAGAAGUGUUUUCUGUUGAGGUUUUGGUAAAAGUUCUUUGGAAUAGGACAUCAUAGAGGGUGAGAAUCCCGUAUUUGACCUUUACUUUCAACUUUGUGAUACACUUUCAAAGAGUCGGAUUGUUUGGGAAUGCAGUCCAAGAUGGGUGGUAAAUUUCAUCUAAAGCUAAAUAUUGGCGAGAGACCGAUAGCGAACAAGUACCGUGAGGGAAAGAUGAAAAGAACUUUGAAAAGAGAGUUAAACAGUACGUGAAAUUGUCAAAAGGGAAGCGUUUGACACCAGUGUUGUUUUUCUGAAAAUCAAUUAAAGAACUGUUUAUGCUAAGUUGUUUAGACUUUAUCAGCUAUCUGCUUAGUUUUGAGCUUUUCUUUAAUGCACUUUUCAGUUAACAAGUCAACAUCAAUUUCUUUUGCUGUAAAAAAGCUUGAGGAAGGUGGCUUGAGAUUCGUCUUAAGUGUUUAUAGCCUCUUGCCUAUGCAGUCGGAGAGAUUGAGGUCUGCAGCGUAGAUCCUUCGGGGCUAAAUGCAUUUGUGCUAAGUUAUAGCAUUUUAUAGACAACUUGUUGACUAUGAUUUGUCUUGUAGCUUACUCGCUUAUGUUAUUUUACCUACGCUUAGGAUGUUGAACUCUAUCACACACAG